GAAAAGACCGUCAGAGCCCAGAGGGGCCGUGGGCAGUCGCUCCCCCGUUCUUCUCUCUCAUCGGAAGGGCUUCUCGAAAGUGACUAUCAUGGACUAAUAGAUCGCAUUCUUAGGUUCUGCACUUUGGAGUUCUGAAGUGAUGGAAAGAGUCGGAGGAGUUGGGUUGCAAGUGGUGAAAAAUGGCAACUUUGGAGAAGGCGAGUCUCCAAGAUAUUCGGUCCCUUUGACCAGAACUGGAUCUCGAAAUACAAGCCCGUCUCGGCAGAAGGUGAUCAAGACUAAGCCUAGGGGUUUUGAUGAGGAGACUGUUGCAACAUUUGGUAAAGUCGUUCAUGCUGAUAUCCAAAUGGAAGAUAACAUAUGGGCACUAUUGCCCGAGGACUUGCUAAUCGAGGUUCUUGCUAGGGUGCCUCCAUUCUUGAUCUUUAGGAUGAGGUCAGUUUGCAGGCGAUGGAAUUCAAUUCUUCAAGAUAGUAGCUUUCUCACAUCUCACUCGAAGGUUCCUUCACAUGGGCCUUGCCUUCUCACAUUCUGGAAGAACUCGCAAACCCAUCAGUGUUCUGUAUUCAGCCUACCAUUGAAGACUUGGUAUAAGGUCCCAUUUGGUUUUUUACCAGAUUGGGCGUUCUGGUUGGUUGGUUCUUCAGGUGGUCUUGUUUGUUUUUGUGGAUACGAUGGGCUUUGUUUCAAAAUCCUUGUUUGCAAUCCCCUAACUCAGACAUGGAGGACAUUGCCAAACAUGCAUUACAAUCAGCAAAGGCAGUUGAUCUUGGUUGUUGAUAGGGCAGAUCGUUCAUUCAAGGUGAUUGCGGCAAGUGAUAUUUAUGGAGACAGAACACUGCCUACAGAAGUUUAUGACUCAAACCUUGACCGUUGGUCUGUUCAUCAGACAAUGCCAGCCGUUAAUCUAUGUUCAUCAAAGAUGGCAUUUUGUGACUCAAGACUGUAUCUUGAGACUCUUUCGCCACUUGGCUUGAUGAUGUAUCGAGUAGAUACAGGGCAUUGGGAACAUAUUCCAGCCAAGUUUCCACGAUCAUUGCUGGAUGGCUAUUUGGUUGCAGGUGCGCAAAAGCGUUUGUUUUUGGUUGGAAGGAUAGGACUUUACAGCACUCUCCAGAGCAUCCGGAUCUGGGAGUUGGAUCAUGCUAAGACUGCGUGGGUGGAAAUAAGUAGGAUGCCACCAAAGUAUUUUAGAGUUCUAUUGAGAUUAUCAGCUGAAAGAUUUGAGUGUUUUGGGCAGGAUAACCUCAUAUGCUUUACAUCCUGGAACCAAGGGAAAGGUCUUCUAUAUGAUGUGGAUAAGAAAACUUGGUCAUGGAUUGCUGGCUGUGCCAUCCAGUUGUGUAACAGUCAGGUUUGCUUUUAUGAGCCAAGAUUUGAUGUGCCCAUCUAUUGAGAGGUGGGCCUUCGUUGGCACUGGGUGGAAGAAGGUUGACAAAGGGUGUUAUUUGGAGACAAUGACAUUAUUAUUUCUUAUGCCAUAAUUAGGGACACUGAUCAUUUACUGCUGAGAUAAUAACUAAGAGCAACUUGUCCACAUAAGUGGAGAAUGUCUAGAAAAGCAGUACUACAUGCAAGAUAUGAUCAUCCAAACAUCGAGGUAUACAGGAAGUAAAUCAACCUAACAGGAUGUGCUCGGAGCUGCUGCGGGAGUGUUCUAACCUCAUGGAGCUCCAUGCAAUUCUGCUUGAGACAGGUCCAGAAAUGGGUUGUAAACUAUUUUUGCUGCAAUUCCUUCGAAAACUUUCCUGCUCAAUUUUAUUUCACCAGCCUGGAUGGCAAAGAAACAUUCUACUGUUUUUGGUAUUGUUUUUCUCCUGGGUACCAAGACGAGUGGCUGAACAGAUGCUUGUAAUUUGAUGAAGGUGGGGGCACUAUGGCUUUGCUGAAGCAAUCAGCACUUCCAUCAGUUGACAUUUUGGCAGAACAUCAUCCCACCGUGCAAAUUCUGCACCGCAGAGGAUCUGCGCCUGUUGCGUGCAUUAUGGUGGUCUCCCAAGAGAUGGUGUGGAAGGCGAUUGGAGGCUUAAACAAUAUAGAAUUAUGAUCACAUACAUGCCACACGGUUCUCUUGAGAUAGCAUGCAAAGAAUUUAUAGAAAUCUUUAGAUUUUCCAGGUACUCUUGGACACUGAGAUAGGUAUUUUCGCAAUUUAAAAAUAUUGCAUUUAUGUCUACAUCUAUAUCAAAUCAUUUUGACUAUAAUAUUAAGUAUGAAUGUUGAUCCUUCUUAAGUGUUCUUUUGCUAUUGGAUUCGGAUUUGACCAAGUUUGAACUCAUUUUAUUAAUGACUUAGUUCUUUCUUCUUAAACACCGUGUUAUCUCAAUAUCAUU